rnacentral:rRNA from 1 species
UACGGAGGGGGCUAGCGUUGUUCGGAAUUACUGGGCGUAAAGCGCGCGUAGGCGGAUCUGCAAGUCGGGGGUGAAAUCCCGAGGCUCAACCUCGGAACUGCCUUCGAUACUGCGGGUCUCGAGUCCGGGAGAGGUGAGUGGAAUUCCUAGUGUAGAGGUGAAAUUCGUAGAUAUUCGCAAGAACACCAGUGGCGAAGGCGGCUCACUGGCCCGAUACUGACGCUGAGGCACGGAAAGCGAUGGGGAGCAAACGGGG